GACGAACGCUGGCGGCGUGCUUAACACAUGCAAGUCGAACGGUAAGGCCCUUCGGGGUACACGAGUGGCGAACGGGUGAGUAACACGUGGGUGAUCUGCUCUGCACUUCGGGAUAAGCCUGGGAAACUAGGUCUAAUACCGGAUAGGACCACUGCCUGCAUGGGUGGUGGUGGAAAGCUUUUGCGGUGUGGGAUGGGCCCGCGGCCUAUCAGCUUGUUGGUGGGGUGAUGGCCUACCAAGGCGACGACGGGUAGCCGGCCUGAGAGGGUGACCGGCCACACUGGGACUGAGAUACGGCCCAGACUCCUACGGGAGGCAGCAGUGGGGAAUAUUGCACAAUGGGCGCAAGCCUGAUGCAGCGACGCCGCGUGAGGGAUGACGGCCUUCGGGUUGUAAACCUCUUUCAGCACCGACGAAGCGCAAGUGACGGUAGGUGCAGAAGAAGGACCGGCCAACUACGUGCCAGCCGCCGCCGUAG
rnacentral:rRNA from 1 species